UUUUCACAUGGAAUUUUCUAAUAUGCUAUGCCUUUCUUUACUUCAUUCUUGUUCCUUUAGUUCAAGAACUUUUUCUUCCUGGUGCAUUAGAUUUAGCUUUAGAUCAAUUACGUGGUUUUCAUGAUUUUAUUGUGAGAGCCAUGUUUUGCUAGUUGCAACCCCGUGCGCUUAACGCACGAUUAGGGUUUAGUCUUACACACAAUGGUAGGCCAGUGGUAGUGAGAGUGUAAGUAGCUUACUAUCAUAUUAACAAGUCUAGGGGAAUUCAAAAUUUUUCUGCACUAUGUUAGCUGGAGUAAU
rfam:NL63-related bat coronavirus strain BtKYNL63-9a, complete genome